rnacentral:rRNA from 1 species
ACGAACGCUGGCGGCGUGCUUAACCCAUGCAAGUCGAACGGAAAGGCCCUGCUUUUGUGGGGUGCUCGAGUGGCGAACGGGUGAGUAACACGUGAGUAACCUGCCCUUGACUUUGGGAUAACUUCAGGAAACUGGGGCUAAUACCGGAUAGGAGCUCCUGCUUCAUGGUGGGGGUUGGAAAGUUUCGGCGGUUGGGGAUGGACUCGCGGCUUAUCAGCUUGUUGGUGGGGUAGUGGCUUACCAAGGCUUUGACGGGUAGCCGGCCUGAGAGGGUGACCGGCCACAUUGGGACUGAGAUACGGCCCAGACUCCUACGGGAGGCAGCAGUGGGGAAUAUUGCACAAUGGGCGGAAGCCUGAUGCAGCAACGCCGCGUGCGGGAUGACGGCCUUCGGGUUGUAAACCGCUUUCGCCUGUGACGAAGCGUGAGUGACGGUAAUGGGUAAAGAAGCACCGGCUAACUACGUG